CGCGCGGUAGCUCAGUUGGAAGAGCAUUGGCCCGGGCUCAAGCCCCGGCUGCGUUA
rnacentral:tRNA from 1 species